ACUCAACUGAUGAGUCCCAAAUAAGACGAAACACGAAUCCUGAAU
rnacentral:hammerhead_ribozyme from 1 species